rnacentral:snoRNA from 1 species
GGACCCCAAUGAUGCCAGCACUAGGCUCUGACUCUGUUGAAGACAGACAUGGUGCCCCCUGGAUCUUGACUCCCAGGGGUCUGAGGGGCCC